rnacentral:rRNA from 1 species
CAACGUUAAUCGGGGCAGGGUGAGUCGACCCCUAAGGCGAGGCCGAAAGGCGUAGUCGAUGGGAAACAGGUUAAUAUUCCUGUACUUGGUGUUACUGCGAAGGGGGGACGGAGAAGGCUAUGUUGGCCGGGCGACGGUUGUCCCGGUUUAAGCGUGUAGGCUGGUUUUCCAGGCAAAUCCGGAAAAUCAAGGCUGAGGCGUGAUGACGAGGCACUACGGUGCUGAAGCAACAAAUGCCCUGCUUCCAGGAAAAGCCUCUAAG